AUUGAACGCUGCGGCAUGCUUUACACCUGCAAGUCGAACGGCAGCGCGGGCUUCGGCCUGGCGGCGAGUGGCGAACGGGUGAGUAAUGCAUCGGAACGUGCCCAGUAGUGGGGGAUAGCCCGGCGAAAGCCGGAUUAAUACCGCAUACGACCUGAGGGUGAAAGCGGGGGACCGAAAGGCCUCGCGCUAUUGGAGCGGCCGAUGUCGGAUUAGCUAGUUGGUGGGGUAAAGGCUUACCAAGGCGACGAUCCGUAGCUGGUCUGAGAGGACGACCAGCCACACUGGGACUGAGACACGGCCCAGACUCCUACGGGAGGCAGCAGUGGGGAAUUUUGGACAAUGGGGGCAACCCUGAUCCAGCCAUGCCGCGUGCGGGAAGAAGGCCUUCGGGUUGUAAACCGCUUUUGUUCGGGAAGAAAUCCUCUGGGCUAAUACCCCGGGGGGAUGACGGUACCGGAAGAAUAAGCACCGGCUAACUACGUG
rnacentral:rRNA from 1 species